rnacentral:miRNA from 1 species
UUCAAUGGGUAUUUACUGAGCC